AUGCUUAAGACUGAAUACAUCAGAGUAGCCUCACCAAUACCAAGAAUAAUGGGAGGACUAUCUUGCCAUCCUUAUGUCAUUUACUUUCCCACUGUCAUGUCCAUGUUCAGUGUUUUUCAGGAAGAAGACGCCCAUCUUCUCAUUGAGCAAGUGCAAAGAGUCAAACACAUCUCACUGAGCCACACUGCACCUGGAGAUGUAUCCAGGGGGAGAUAUGCAAAAAUGCACAGCAGCCCCAGGUUUCCUCCUAGCAUUUCCUGUCAGCUGUCUGGCUAUCUACCAGGGAAAAAGAAAAACCUCCUAAUACGGUUCCUGUGGGAAUUUGAAUUACAGUGAGACUGACCUGGAUUUGACUUUGCCUGAAUGAAACUCGUCCUUGUUCUCAGCCAUGUGUCAUCAGAAGUAGAAAUCUGGAGGUGGAUGUGAUCGAUGUGCUGGCUCUUCGGAAAUAAUGCAGCUAGAGAGGCUACAUACAAAAGAUGUUGUAUUUCAAGUCCCUUAAGUGGCUUUAUGCAAAACAAGUCAUGUUACACUGCCUAAAAGAAGACAAACCCAGCAGCAGAGUGUUCACAAAACAAUAAGCCAUGCUCUUUCCUCCUCUACAUGGUCUUUAUAAUAGUCGAAUUAGCUUACAUUAUUUUGUUAGCUAAAACCUAUAAUAAAGAUGUAGUAAGAACCUCUCA
rnacentral:lncRNA from 1 species